UCGGGAAUUUUGGGCAAUGGGCGAAAGCCUGACCCAGCAACGCCGCGUGAGGGAUGAAGUAUUUCGGUAUGUAAACCUCGAAAGAAUGGGAAGAAUAAAUGACGGUACCAUUUAUAAGCUCCGGCUAACUACGUGCCAGCAGCCGCGGUAAUACGUAGGGAGCAAGCGUUGUUCGGAUUUACUGGGCGUAAAGGGCGCGUAGGCGGCGCGGUAAGUCACUUGUGAAAUCUCUGAGCUUAACUCAGAACGGCCAAGUGAUACUGCUGUGCUAGAGUGCGGAAGAGGCAACCGGAAUUCUUGGUGUAGCGGUGAAAUGCGUAGAUAUCAAGAGGAACACCUGAGGCGAAGGCGGGUUGCUGGGCCGACACUGACGCUGAUGCGCGAAAGCCAGGGGA
rnacentral:rRNA from 1 species